rnacentral:rRNA from 1 species
GUAGGUGGCAAGCGUUGUCCGGAAUUAUUGGGCGUAAAGCGCGCGCAGGUGGUUCUUUAAGUCUGAUGUGAAAGCCCCCCGGGCUCAACCCGGGGAGGGUCAUUGGAAACUGGGGAACUUGAGUGCAGGAGAGGAAAGUGGAAUUCCACGUGUAGCGGUGAAAUGCGUAGAUAUGUGGAGGAACACCAGUGGCGAAGGCGACUUUCUGGCCUGUAACUGACACUGAGGCGCGAAAGCGUGGGGAGCAAACAGGAUUAGAUACCCUGGUAGUCCACGCCGUAAACGAUGAGUGCUAAGUGUUGGGGGGUUUCCGCCCCUCAGUGCUGCAGCUAACGCAUUAAGCACUCCGCCUGGGGAGUACGGUCGCAAAGACUG